rnacentral:miRNA from 1 species
GCAGACACAUUCCAGCCAAUCAGCAGCAGACCCUCCCUCCCAGACCCUCCCACCUCCUGGACAGCAUCCAUUGUGAAGCUGCUUCUUAAAUGAGCUGUCCAGGAGGUGGGAGGGUCUGGGAGGGAGGGUCUGCUGCUGAUUGGCUGGAAUGUGUCUG